rnacentral:misc_RNA from 1 species
UGCGGAUCGGUACAUGAUGAGGCAAGAGUCAAGAAGGCUGUUAAAGACCUUGUCCGAAGACCAUUAGAAGCAGACCCAUUAGGAAAGCGAUUGGUGAAUAAACUAUCACACCGACACGCAGACCAAAGUCCAGCUAAUGCAUUUAAGAGGAGCCGACAACUGACAAUGAAGCAGGCCGGCACAAACCUCCAAAUCCAAGCCCCGAGCCUUUACAAGCAAGGGGUUUGAUGUUAACAUGACACUCAAACAGGCAUGCCCCUCGGAAUACCAAGGGGCGCAAGGUGCGUUCAAAGAUUCGAUGAUUCACUGAAUUCUGCAAUUCACAUUACUUAUCGCAUUUCGCUGCGUUCUUCAUCGAUGCGAGAGCCAAGAGAUCCGUUGUUGAAAGUUGUAUUUCAUUUCGCCCACAAGGAGCAUUACAUUCUACAAGACAAUUAAAGUGUGUAUGAUGAAGUCAAAGUGUUCGUCAAUCCCAGCCAAGGCCGACCAUAUGCUUUCGCGUCGAAACACUACUAACAAAGUCAACCCCGGCGGCUCCGACUAAGGAGGAAAGACUACUAACUUCGAUAAGGUGCACAGGUGUUGAGUGGAUUAAGCACGAAGGCCGAGCACAGUGCGUGUUUCCACGCCAGCAUCAAGCCCUCGAUUUUAAAAACUCGAUAAUGAUGCUUCCGCAGUUCCCCCCCUACGAAAGAGGGGGAGUAAAGGGAUUUUUUAAAAAAGGGGCUUGAUGCUGGGGGUGAAAACAACCGUGUGGGCGGCCUGUCGUCUCUACAUCCCACCAAACACGAGGGCGCC